UAGCAGUCUCACUUUUGAGAUAUCCCUAAUUUACUGACAAGAAGCUGCAUUAAAUUCAUCUGCUUGGGAACAAAGUUUGAGUUUGACCCUAUUUAGGAGGAAUUUAGAUUUCAAAGACGCUAUGGUGCAUAUUUCAUACUCUGGGUUUAUACCAUAAAUCAGUAUAAAUGGCACAAGAACAUAAGGGAGAUCUCUUCAACAGAUUUCCACUGCAGGCUGAAUCUUUAUGAUGCCAGUAAAAACAGCAGUAUAUUCUGACUAGGCAUUCUAUUUCACUCCAUUGUUUCGACUAACCUUCCUAUUUUUAUUGUGCCCUAAUAAUGACGUUCCUUCCAUUUUAGUAUUCCUAUUCAUCUAGUCUAAUAAAUCCUUGCUUCUCUGCAGCACCACUGAUCUGGGAAAUGCUCCUUUUCAUUUCACAAAGACAAGAAAAGGCAGAGACAAAGAGAAAUGGAAAGUACUACAGUCAAAAUAACAAAGACUUACGCUGUCCAAUUAGGUCAUGUGUGAAAUAACCAGAAUUCUAAAAUGUCUCCUGAAUGUUAAUUGAGACCUAGAUUACUUUGGGCUUCUGAGUCCAGGGAAGGAGAAACAGCAGUCUGAGCAGGACCUACCCAUGACGAGCAAGGUGAGGAGCAGUUGACACCUCCUCUGCCAAGCUCCUCAGGAUGUGCUGCCUGAGCUUCCUGCUGAAGGUGACACUCCAGCAAGAGCUGCCUUUCAGAAUUGGGAAAUUCAACCAAUAUGGACAAAAGUAUCAACGUUUAUAUCUGCCUUUAGUUUCUGCAUUUCAGUAGUUCAGAUUUCACUGAAAAUUCAUUGAGAUCUUCGGCACGCGGAAGAUUAGAAUUAGUAUCAUAAUGAAGAGCAAAUAAGGCCUUUCCUAGAUACCAGAAGGCAAUCAAGGAAAGCUCUUUUCUUUCUUUCCAAGUCUCAUCUGGUACUAUCAAGAUUAAAUGAAGCACAACUCACGGUUAAUGAAGUUUUUGCUAUUCCAAUAAAAUAAAAUUUAAUCUCUUAAAAUGCUUCUCUUUUGCCUUUCAUACACAAUUUCUGUCCAUGCUUUGUCUAUGUUAGUGGAAUCAUAUGCCAUAUUUAGCUUUUAGAUUUUACUAAUUUCAAAACAUUGUCAAAUAGACACACUAGUGUGUCUUCUCUAUAUAUUGUCAGCCUGAUUCACAUGCCUGUAAGUUCAUCCAAGACUCUUUGCACAGAAAACAAAUGACACCUUUCAGGGAAAUACCUAUCAGUUUUUCAAUCACUGCUGCUGCUGUUCAGCUAGGAUUAUUAAAAAUCCCAAACUUUACUCUCCUAGAAUUGCAGAACAACUGCAUUUUAGUAAUUUUAGAGGCUGGAGUCCAGUUUAAGAGGGUGAUUUUGGCAUUAGGUACUACAGUGAUUAAUGAUAUUUCAGUAGCUUUUCCAUUACUCCCUGCCUAGAGAAAAAACAAACAAACAACAAAAAACCCCACAAAAAAUCAACAAACAAACCCACCCCAAACCCAUAAUGGCAGAUUAGUUGUGUGCCUUUCACUGCUUCUUAUAAAAUGUUAAUGGACUCCUAAAGGUUUCAUUUUUGAAUGAGAACAAUUUCAACAAGAGCUUUAGGAGAUGCAGAGGGCAUUCAAGGAAGUUGUGAAAAUUCCUUAUGUUCUGCUUUAUAAAGUCUAUUAGACACAUUUGGCACAAGCUGUGAAUCUGACCCUGAUUUCUAAGCAUUUAAACAGUCCAAAUAAAAUGCCAAUUCUGUAAUAUUUUAUAUUUUCCUUUUUUUUUUCAAGUAUAUAUUAAGUACACAUCUGAAGAAACAAUAUUGUACUCCUUUAUUUUAGAUGUAGGUAGCAGUCACAAGAGAUUAAAUGCUGUUGUGUGUAAUGAAGCAUGAAGAUGACAAGAUAUAUGAACCAGAGGCUUUUCAGCUCGAUCACAUCAUCCAGGACAUAAUUAUACAGAUUUUGUAUUUCAGACAUCAAUGUCACCUUGGGGUUGAAAUUAUUCUAGAUUAAUCUGUGUAAGUAUAAAUAAGAUAGUUCGCCACACCCCAAUUUAACUUCCUACUUUAAAAAUAGAAAGGAAAAUGUGUCGUCCUGAGUUUGGAGAUGAGUUAUUUGUGUGUGGUAUUUGUGAUGGAAAAUUCUUUCUAAAAUAAACACAGUAACA